rnacentral:rRNA from 1 species
UACGAAGGGGGCUAGCGUUGCUCGGAAUCACUGGGCGUAAAGCGCACGUAGGCGGUUUGUUAAGUCUGUUGUGAAAUCCCCGAGCUCAACUUGGGAAUUGCAAUGGAUACUGGCAGGCUGGAGUAUGGUAGAGGUGAGUGGAACUGCGAGUGUAGAGGUGAAAUUCGUAGAUAUUCGCAAGAACACCAGUGGCGAAGGCGGCUCACUGGCCCGAUACUGACGCUGAGGUGCGAAAGCGUGGGGAGCAAACAGG